GGCACAGCUGUGGGAUGAAAAACAAAAAUAGGUUACAGAGGUUGCUAUUUUUAAAAUGGAAAGAAAUAGGGCUGAUCAUUUCAUUAUUUAUUAAUUUUUGUAUUUAUUUUUUUUUAGCAGGCCAAAGCGUGUCCUUGUGGAUGUGCACUGUUUGCACUAACAACAUGGCUGAAAAACAACAGAGGGCCAUUGCACGGAUAACGCAUGGAAGACUAUCAGGACAUGGAUACAACAUCUUACAGGUGGUACUGAAGUCAAGGUCGAUCAGUAGAAUAAAUGGAAAAAAAAUCACAAAUCAAAGAUAAGAUUUUGCUUACGUUUUUUUUUUCAUCAUUAGAAUCUUCGGUUGACAAUGCAACUUAAGAUGGUCAUCCUUAGCCGGAUGGACAUCGGCGGCGGGGAUGAAUGACGGGACAGACAGAUGAGGUGCUGCUGGAUGUUUUAAUACAGUUGCCAUAACAUGUAUGCACAGACAGUACAAGUUGCAUGUGGAAUCAUGGAUCGGGGUGGGUUUGGGGAAGUAGGACAAAUAGUAAACAAAGCCAACGUACAAAAAUAUAACACGGACAUUGUGGGUGAUGCUUUCGAUGCCGACACACGAUGCUUUUUUUUUUGUUUCACCUGACAGAAGCUGAAGCGACAAAUUUUGGGGCUAAAAUAUGAAGUGUGUUAAGUUGUGUAUUUUAUUGAAUAUUUUUAAUUCAAUAAAACAAUAUGUAUUUCCA